rnacentral:rRNA from 1 species
CAAGUCGAACGGUAACAGGCUCAGCUUGCUGGGUGCUGACGAGUGGCGGACGGGUGAGUAACGCGUAGGAAUCUGCCUUAUAGCGGGGGACAACCUGGGGAAACUCAGGCUAAUACCGCAUGUGCACUACGGUGUAAAGUAUGGGACCUUCGGGCCAUACACUAUAAGAGGAGCCUGCGUCGGAUUAGCUUGUUGGUGGGGUAAAGGCCUACCAAGGCGACGAUCCGUAGCUGGUCUGAGAGGACGACCAGCCACACUGGGACUGAGACACGGCCCAGACUCCUACGGGAGGCAGCAGUGGGGAAUAUUGGACAAUGGGCGCAAGCCUGAUCCAGCAAUACCGCGUGUGUGAAGAAGGCCUGCGGGUUGUAAAGCACUUUCAGUAGGGAGGAAGGCUUUAGUGUUAAUAGCACUGAGGAUUGACGUUACCUACAGAAGAAGCACCGGCUAACUCUGUGCCAGCAGCCGCGGUAAUACAGAGGGCGCGAGCGUUAAUCGGAAUUACUGGGCGUAAAGGGUGCGUAGGUGGUUUGUGAAGUCAGACGUGAAAGCCCCGGGCUUAACCUGGGAAUUGCGUUUGAAACUAGCAAGCUAGAGUGCAGUAGAGGGAAGUGGAAUUUCCGGUGUAGCGGUGAAAUGCGUAGAUAUC